rnacentral:rRNA from 1 species
AAAGCUCAAAUUUAAAAUCUGGUGGCCUUCAGCCGUCCGAGUUGUAAUUUAGAGAAGCGUCUUCCGCGCCGGACCGUGCACAAGUCUCCUGGAAUGGAGCGUCAUAGAGGGUGAGAAUCCCGUCUUUGGCACGGACUUCCCGGUGCUUCUGUGAUGCGCUCUCGACGAGUCGAGUUGUUUGGGAAUGCAGCUCAAAAUGGGUGGUGAACUCCAUCUAAAGCUAAAUACUGGCGAGAGACCGAUAGCGAA